GCCUGGGUGGUGGAAUGGCAGACACAAGGGACUUAAAAUCCCUCGCCCUUAAAAGCGUGAGGGUUCGACUCCCUCCCCAGGCA
rnacentral:tRNA from 1 species